rnacentral:snRNA from 1 species
GUUCGCUUUGGCAGCACAGUCUAAAAUUGGAAUGAUACAGAGAAGAUUAGCAUGGCCCCUGUGCAAGGAUGACAUGCAAAUUCGUGACGCAUUCCACUUUUUU